rnacentral:misc_RNA from 1 species
CAACCCUUAAGCUUAGCUUAGUAUUGGGAAUCUGCUUAACCGCAGCUCCUUAAAUCUAGUUGGCAGAGCACAGCUGUACUCUGAGCGUAGUAAUUCAUUAUCUCGCUUCUGGAAGACAGCCGUACGAUCGCCACAAACCUAUUUAUUUUUUAAUGG